UACGGAGGGGGCUAGCGUUGUUCGGAAUUACUGGGCGUAAAGCGCACGUAGGCGGCUUUGUAAGUUAGAGGUGAAAGCCCAGGGCUCAACCCUGGAAUUGCCUUUAAGACUGCAUCGCUUGAACAUCGGAGAGGUAAGUGGAAGUUCCGAGUGUAGAGGUGAAAGUUCGUAAGAUAUUCGGAAGAACACCAGUGGCGAAGGCGACUUACUGGACGAAUUGUUGACGCUGAGGUGCGAAAGCGUGGGGAG
rnacentral:rRNA from 1 species